ACGGUUAAAUCACGCUGAAACACCGGUUCUCGUUCGAUCACCGAAGUUAAGCAUCGUAGAGCCAGGUCAGUACUUAGAUUGGGGACCGCUUGGGAACACCUGGUACUGUAAA
rnacentral:rRNA from 1 species